rnacentral:rRNA from 1 species
UAGGGAAUCUUCGGCAAUGGACGGAAGUCUGACCGAGCAACGCCGCGUGAGUGAAGAAGGUUUUCGGAUCGUAAAGCUCUGUUGUAAGAGGAGAACGAGUGUGAGAGUGGAAAGUUCACACUGUGACGGUAUCUUACCAGAAAGGGACGGCUAACUACGUGCCAGCAGCCGCGGUAAUACGUAGGUCCCGAGCGUUGUCCGGAUUUAUUGGGCGUAAAGCGAGCGCAGGCGGUUAGAUAAGUCUGAAGUUAAAGGCUGUGGCUUAACCAUAGUAGGCUUUGGAAACUGUUUAACUUGAGUGCGAGAGGGGAGAGUGGAAUUCCAUGUGUAGCGGUGAAAUGCGUAGAUAUAUGGAGGAACACCGGUGGCGAAAGCGGCUCUCUGGCUUGUAACUGACGCUGAGGCUCGAAAGCGUGGGGAGCAAACAGGAUUAGAUACCCUGGUAGUCCACGCUGUAAACGAUGAGUGCUAGGUGCUAGACCCUUUCCGGGGUUUAGUGCCGUAGCUAACGCAUUAAGCACUCCGCCUGGGGAGUACGACCGCAAGGUUG